UUUUUUUUUUUUUUUUUUUUAAGGGAUGAGGUCUCCCUAUGUCAUCCAGGCUGGUCUUGAACUUCUGAGCUCAAGCAAUCCUCCUGCCUCAGCCUCCCAAAGUGUGGGAUUACAGGCAUGAACCACCGUGCUCGGCCCUCAAGUGCGUUUCAUAGGAGUCUGUGUUUUGUGCAACUCCUAGAGAAAUAACGGAGAAAUAACCGAGUGUCAUACGUGGACUUGUAAAGUCGGUUCCUCUCAAACAACAGCAGCACUUCAAGGAGGGCCCAUUGCUGGGGUGGAUUUUAUUUAGGGCAACAAAUAAUAAAUGUGAUACAACAAAGAAUUCCCAGGCACAUGUGGAGGAGGUACUUCUGACGUGAGAAUCCUCUUGGGGUGAGGCAGGUGCGCUGCUGACUCCACGUUGCCCGAGAGCUGCCAGGCAACACACGUGGGAGGUCUGAGGAAGGUCAGCGCGGGCAGCGAAGGAGCAGGCAGGAUCCUCAACAGCAGCGUCCCUCUCCAGGCUGCUUUCCAGUAGCUUCUGAAGAAAGCUUUCCUGCACAGGAAAUGGCAGAGAUGUACCACACUUUGCUGCCCUUGGUGGCCACGCCGAGGGUCUCCUGAGGAGGUGGUGACCAGGCAUUAACAGCUGGCUCCUAGGAGUCAAAAUAAAGCCCUCUUCGCUCUCGUACAGGGCCCGCUGGGCACAGAGCUGAAUGCCACAAGGUGUCGUCCCGGGAGCCAGGGUGGCUGCUGUCAUGGCCAAUGCGCUGGCCACAGCCACCCUUCACUGUGCAGGAGCUGGGCGAGGGGAGGAAACCCCUGGCUUGGAGGGUCUGCCAGAGCUCCCAGGGCAGGCCUCUGCCUGGUGCUCACAUCCCAGCCGGACAUGUGGGGUGCCCAGCAUGGAUUUCUUUCAUGGAAUGAAUGACAGGACGUGUCAUGGGUUGAACUGUGUCCCUAGAAGGACGUGUUGACAGCUUCACCCCGGAGCCUGUGACUGUGACCUCGGCCUUUGCAGUGGCCCCAAGUUCAGAUGAGGCCGCACAGAGGGAAGGCGGUCCCAAUACCAGGACGAUGUCUUUCUAAGGAGAGGGAGAGGCUGGAGUGAGCACAGCAGGACGGACAUCGGAAGAGAGGCCAGGCCGGGCUGGGCAGCGUGGCCCCAGGACGAUGGUCACCACAAGCUGCUGGCAUCCAUGGAAAGUGGGAGGGAAGAGGAGAGUUUUCAGAGCCUGCAGCAGGAGCCGUGCCCUGCCCUGCCCUGCCCUGCCUCGGCUUUGGUCUUCUGGCAUCGGAACGGCGAGAGGAUGCCUUUCUGUGCUUUACGCUGCCCAGGCUGGAGUCACUUUUUACAGCAGCCCUAGUAGAUAAAGCGAGGAAUGCCCUGGCCCCAAAGCACAGGCUUCCUGGGUUUCCUUCAAGGGCGGAGGGAUGCCGUGGUCCUGACCUGGUGGCACCAGGAGCCUAAGACUUGGGAUCCAUGCGUUGGAACUGGGGCGGUUCUCAGAACCAACCACAGCUGCUGAAGACUCAGGGACAGCCCAGAUCCAUGCCGUGUGAACGGGGGCGGUUCUCAGAACCAACCACGGCUGCUGGGGACGCAGGGCCUGCCUGGACUUCCCCGCUCCUGUGACCCUGCGUCCACGUCUUUGACAAAUGAUUUCUGAAAGUGUCUCUGCAGAGGGGUCAAGAUGCAAAAGCCACAGCACCCCCGCUUCGCAGCACAAAGAUUCUUAGAAUUGGAGGGCUGAAAGAAGUAGCACGGUUCUAGCUCGGUAACACUUGUCAAAAAUGUGUAGCCUCAGAACUUACUAACUUACUUACUUAUUUAUUUAUUUAUAGUGAAACAAAGCUGUAUGAUGUGGUCGCCUCCUGACCAGAGGUGGUCUGGGAUCUCAGAGCCAGGUCAGCUUCCCACCCUGGCGUCACCCCUGCAGCAGGGCGUGGGACCCCAGGGCGCUGUGGGACACAGUUUGAGAACCACGGUGGUCUCCGCCGCUCUGCCCCCU
rnacentral:lncRNA from 1 species